CCAGAACAUCCGCUUUUGUGGAGUAGCUGUUCAAAGCGAACUCAGUUCUGGGUUGAUCACUAUACUGCACCACCCCAAUGUGUAUCUGCUGAGCUCCAACUCUGAGGCUUUCAAUCAAAUUUACAAGGAAAUCGCGUAUGGCUUGAAAAUUGACACUUCCGAUGUUGUCUGAUCCGUCAAUAAGGAAAAUAAGGUCAGCAGACUCUUGAGCUGCUUGCUGCUGGGCACCCACUGAGCAAAAGCCUGAGAGCAGGAGGCCAAGUAUUGCCGCAAGGGGCAAAUGCCGAUGCUUCCUCAUUGUGUUCUUUUGUUUCAGUUUCCCUUUUUGUUCUCCUUGUUUCAAAGAACCUGAUGUGAGACCCCUGAGCGAACCCCCAAAAUAUAUCGCUUAUCCCGGGGUUCUCCCCUUCCGAAGCACCUUUCUGUGGCCGCGCCGGUGCCGCUCAGCGUCCCCGCUUCCCUUCUCCCUCCUCGGAGGGCCGCUCGGGGUGCGCUGGUACCCCGGCAGGCGGCCGCCGCGGCUCUGAGCGGGGCCGGGGGAGGCGGCUGGCGCGGUACCGCCGGGGGCCGGCCGCUGCAAA
rnacentral:lncRNA from 1 species